GUCUUAUACCAUCGAUAAAAAAAUUCCCUAUUUUCUUUCCUUUGUUUUCCUUUCUCCCCCCUUACCUCAGUAAAGGGGUAAAGAACAGGGUUUUGGAGCCCUUCCAGAUUUUAUAAAUUCGCAGUUUCCAAAAUUCUUACUCCCUUUGUUCCAACGGUAAUUGCUGGACGCUAUCCCUUCUGUUAACCGCCGCCGUUGUCCACAAUGUCAGAUCGUGGCAAGCAACGCCUGAGGGACCGCGACAGAGACCGAGAACGCGAGAGUGAUCGCGACCGCGACAGAGAACGCCGACGCGACAGAGAUGACCACGAACGAGACCGUGAGCGAGACAGAGACAGAGAGCGGGCACGCAGCAAGAGAUCCCGUACACCGGACCGCACCCGGUCUCGUCACACGCGCUCUCGCACGCGUUCCCCCGAGCGCGAACGUUACCUUUCACGCUCCCCUGCUCAUACGCGGUCCCCGGAACGCUCAUCCCAGCGCCAUCACCGGAAUCGGCACCGAAUACCAUCAGCGGAGCCGCCUAGGAAACGGCACCGCCAUGGAAGCGAGGAGAGGGAGAAGGAGAAAGAUAGGCAAAAGGCGGUGUCGGAUUUUGUGGAUGAGAUAGCGAAAGAGCAGCAGCAAAAGAAAGAGAAUGAUAAUAAUGGGAAUGAGAAUGGAGAUGGAGGAGAGGACGAUGAGAUGGACAUGAUGAAGAAGUUAGGGAUUCCAGUUGGUUUUGAUUCCACGAAAGGAAAACAUGUGCCAGGGGCUGAUGUUAGUGGAGUUAGGGCUGUGACUAAGCGGCAGCCCAGGCAGUAUAUGAAUCGAAGAGGCGGUUUUAAUCGUCCAUUGCCCGCUGAGCGCAAUCGCUAGAAUUCAUUUAGUGAUUGAAAGCAUUUUCAAGGUUAUUCAUCUUCCUAGCACUGGGGUUGGUGAUCCAUUUUGAGUGCUAGCAUGAAAAGCAAGGCGUAUGUUUAAUGAUAUUUGAUGCCAGAAAGACAUCAAACGACAUUCAUCUUUGAAGAUGUUAAAGCUUGGUGAGUUAGUUACAGGGUUCAACACUGACAAUAUUUGUGCUUGACUUCCUUAAUGCGCUAUGCGAAGAUUGCUAGUGGUUUCUUAGCCAAAUUGAAGCAGGGGUGACAUCUAUGUGUGAGACUUUGAACCCUUUGCGUUGUGCUUUUAGUCACUCAUUUCUCAAAAGGUUUGAUACUUGUAUUAAUAUGUAGCAUCUUAUAGUGCCAAGUGACCGCAACUGCUGGAUUUGGAUGCGGUAACUGUGAGUGUUGCAUUUCUUAGUUGAAUGCCCAGAACCAUUUUUCUGCA